UCGUAAGGUAUUGCAAAAUGCAUACUUUCUGCUUCAAAACGCAGAGUCGACACUUUUCUGAGGGAAGUUGUCGAGCCACGAGUACACAAGACGAAAUGGCAUCGUGACAUAGCCGCUGCAAAAUGUAUCCUGAUCAAAGGACACUGUGACUUGUUUGGGUACACGUUACCCGAAACAUUGCAGAGGCCAUCCAACCAGCGAGCUGCUGUCAACAACUAACCAGCAUCAUGUAUCGUCGUUCACGCCAUUCACAUUGAAUAAUUCAAAAAUUAAAAUAUAACAUUAUGUUAUUUCCGCUAUGCCUGAUUGUUGUGGUAUAGAAGGCGUAACUCGAAAGAAGCCAGAAGUACCCAUAUGGGUAGUGAAAAAAAAUACCUAAUAAACAACUCUGAAAUUUUGAAAUCAUUAAAUGUAUACAU